rnacentral:tRNA from 1 species
GCCCUCGUAGCUCAAUGGAUAGAGCGCCUGGCUUCGGACCAGGAGGUUGCGGGUUCGACUCCUGCCGAGGGUGCCA